rnacentral:rRNA from 1 species
UGCCAGCCGCCGCGGUAAUACGGAGGGUGCAAGCGUUAUCCGGAUUCAUUGGGUUUAAAGGGUCCGCAGGCGGGAAAAUAAGUCAGUGGUGAAAGCCUACAGCUUAACUGUAGAACUGCCAUUGAAACUGUUUUUCUUGAGUAUAGAUGAAGUGGGCGGAAUAUAUCAUGUAGCGGUGAAAUGCAUAGAUAUUACAUAGAAUACCAAUUGCGAAGGCAGAUUACUAAUAAUAUACUGACACUGAGGGACGAAAGCGUGGGGAGCGAACAGGAUUAGAUA